GAUGAACGCUGGCGGCGUGCCUAAUACAUGCAAGUCGAGCGAAUGGAUUAAGAGCUUGCUCUUAUGAAGUUAGCGGCGGACGGGUGAGUAACACGUGGGUAACCUGCCUAUAAGACUGGGAUAACUCCGGGAAACCGGGGCUAAUACCGGAUAACAUUUUGAACAGCAGGGUUCGAAAUUGAAAGGCGGCUUCGGCUGUUACUUAUGGAUGGACCCGCGUCGCAUUAGCUAGUUGGUGAGGUAACGGCUCACCAAGGCAAUGAUGCGUAGCCGACCUGAGAGGGUGAUCGGCCACACUGGGACUGAUACACGGCCCAGACUCCUACGGGAGGCAGCAGUAGGGAAUCUUCCGCAAUGGACGAAAGUCUGACGGAGCAACGCCGCGUGAGUGAUGAAGGCUUUCGGGUCGUAAAACUCUGUUGUUAGGGAAGAACAAGUGCUAGUUGAAUAAGCUGACACCUUGACGGUACCUAACCAGAAAGCCACGGCUAACUACGUGCCAGCCGCCGCAGUAA
rnacentral:rRNA from 1 species